rnacentral:rRNA from 1 species
GCGUAGAUAACCUGUCCAGGUGUAUGGGAUAGCCCUUCGAAAGGGGGAUUAAUACCGUAUACGUUGGUCUUCUUUAAGGAGGAUCAAGAAAGGUGGCCUCUAUUUAUAAGCUAUCGCAUUUGGAGGGGUCUGCGUACCAUUAGUUUGUUGGUGGGGUAAUGGCCUACCAAGACUUCGAUGGUUAGCGGGUCUGAGAGGAUGAUCCGUCACACUGGCACUGAAACACGGGCCAGACUCCUACGGGAGCAGCAGUGAGGAAUAUUGCGCAAUGGGGGAAACCCUGACGCAGCGACGCCGCGUGGGUGAGGAAGGCUUUCGGGUCGUAAAGCCCUGUCAGAAGGGAAGAAAUGUUUACAGGAUAAUACCCUGUAGAUUUGACGGUACCUUCAAAGG